rnacentral:rRNA from 1 species
AUUGAACGCUGGCGGCAGGCCUAACACAUGCAAGUCGAACGGUAACACAAAACAGCUUGCUGCUUCGCUGACGAGUGGCGGGGGGGGGAGUAAUGUCCGUGAAGCUGCCUGAUGGAGGGGGGGAACUCCUGGAAACAGUAACGAAUACAGCAUAAAGGCGCAACAGGAGAGAGCAGGAGAUUCGCGCAUCUUGCCAUCGGGUGCGACCAGAUGGGAUUAGCUUGUUGGCGGGGUAACGGCUCACCAAGGCGACGAUCCCUAGCUGGUCUGAGAGGAUGAUCAGCCACACUGGAACUGAGACACGGUCCAGACUCCUACGGGAGGCAGCAGUGGGGAAUAUUGCACAAUGGGCGCAAGCCUGAUCCAGCCAUGCCGCGUGGAUGAAGAAGGCCUUCGGGUUGUAAAGUCCUUUCAUUGGGGAGGAAGGGCGUCAAGUUAAUACCCCGGCUUACUGACGUUACCCGAAGAAUAAGCACCGGCUAACUUCGUG